GGAGAGGUGGCAGAGCGGUUGAAUGCAGCGGUCUUGAAAACCGCCGAGGAUUAACGUCCUCCGUGGGUUCGAAUCCCACCCUCUCCACCA
rnacentral:tRNA from 1 species